UAGGGGCUAGGGGGAGAGUUGACGUGCUCUGUUAUUCUCAAAUCGUCGGAAAUGGAGACCCGAAGUCCGAGGGCGGCGCAGACGAGCCAUUGGUGUUCCACCGGUUGACGUCGAUGCCUCGCCCCCAAGAGAUCCAGGUUGGCGGAAACUGCUUCCGGAGGGAAGCGAGGAAUGUCUCACGCCCGGGAACCAGGUCAGGCGCGGAAGCGAGCAACCCGACCGGGGAUGCUGGAUGCCUUGGGAUAGCGGGGCGGAGGAGAUCGGUGAACUUGCACUUUUGGUGACGAGCGUCCACCGAGGACGCGCCCACUA
rnacentral:SRP_RNA from 1 species